AGAUGUUUUUCAAUGCAAAUGGGAUCAACUGCAGACCCUAAGAUAACCACUCCCCUACAUCUGCAGCCUGCCCUGCAUAUCCCGGGCCUGCCAGCCUCCACAACCGAGGCAGCCAGUUCCUUAAAAGAAUUAUUUUCUGAUGAUACAUAGAUGGAAGAUUGAUAGAUAUGUAGACAGAUAGAUACACAGAGACAUAGUCAUAGAGCAAGUUGGACAUAUUGAUAUGAAUAUAUCGCCUAUUGUCUCCUUGGAGAGCCCUAAUAUAGGAUCUCAGAUUUACCAUCCUCCAAGCAGUGAAAAGUUCAUCUGCUGAAGCUCAGUGGAACAGGAGGUGAACUUCGUGGACGCUGAACUCAGGGCUGACAUUAGCCCCAGUCCUGCUAUUGGCUAUGUGAACAAGAAGUCUCUUCCCCUCCAUCUGCCUCUGCGUCCUCACCUUGGAAUGGAAGCUAACAGCAGUACUCACCCCAAAGGUCUGUGGUGAGGAUCAUUUGAGAGAAUGUGUACAAAAUGCCCCGAAUAAUCCCUGGGUCAACAGCAGUCUCAGGAUGGAUCAGCUUGCUAAGGCUGUUGUAACAAGGUACGGCCAACUGGGAGACUUCAGCAGCUACUCUAGCUCCACCAAUUGGAGGCCUGAAACCAUUUAUUUGCUCACAGCUCUGGGGCUGGAAGUCUGAAGUCAAGGGCUCUGCAGGACUGGAUCCUUAAGAAGCUGACAGGGAGGAUCCGUCUGGGUCCCCCGGGUCUGUCUUGCUUUCGUCUCUUCCUGGGGUCCUCCUGCGUGCUGUCUCUCUGUCCAAAUGUCCCCUUUCAUCCAAGGACACCAGUCGUGCUUGCCUAGGGCCAACCCCAGUGACCUUAUUUUGAAUUUAUUUUCCCUGCAACGAUGCUAUCUCUAAAUAAAGUUCCCGGGAGUUAGGACUUCAGCGAAUGAAUUCUGGAAGGCUCACGGUUCCACCCUGACACCGGAAGUGAUAGUCCGGAGCGGCCUGGACGUCCAGCUCCUUGCGACUUGGGUAAGCUGGGCUUCCUCAGAAUCAGAGCCUGAGACAAGGGCCCGAGAGGCCGUGGUCUCCUUGAGCGGUGACCGUAGGGCCGAGGGGGAGUGAGGUAGGGAAGGGAAGGAGGCAGAGCCAGAGCCGGCGUGUUCGUGUUCGGGAGUGGCUUCCGGUGUGGCUGAUGGAAGCCGGGAGCCAGAGGCACCUGGCGUGCCUGGAGCGCUUCACAGUCAGCUCAUCUCGCCGCUUAGCGAGCGCUGCUCUGACAGCCUGAACCUGCGUCCCGCCUUGCCAGACGGAGCCGAGAAUGCUUGGAGAAGGAGAGGCUGGUGUUCGCCAGAGAAACCCCCGGCGGUGCGGGCUGGGGCCCUGAGGCUCUCUGCCACCCUGCCGGACACAGCUGUGGGUCAUACCGAGGGAAGUCAGGACUUCGAUCCACAGGGACACCGCAGGGUCCGGCUUCACUGCAAAGACUCCUCCUCAAUGUUCUCCAGAAAGGGCGGCCCAGAGCGCCAGCCAUCCCCAGUAAUGAUCAUAAAGGUGCACAGAACUGAAAGGUUGAGAAGUGACAGCGGUUCCCAUCCCUUCCCAGGGCUCAGCCUCACCACAGGAACAAAGCCUACACUGCGUGGAUUUUCACUGCUGAGCCAAGGCACUCCACUUUAUUAGUGAAUUAUGCAGGCUGCAGAAGACUGCCUCCAGCCCACUCACUGGGCCCAGAGGAUUAAAGGACGAAUGGUAUCAUGGCCACGAAGCAUCUUGGUGUACAUCACAGCCUCCCACACCCUCGGCGGGGAGGCCGGCUGCCUACUCCCUUUCAGCUUCUGUGCACUAUCCCCAACCUCCCGGAGCUUCAGCCUACUGAACACGCUGUGUCUAAGCAGGAUUCGGGAGAACAGAUUGUUUGAGGUUUGGAUUCAGCAUCAGACAAAAUGAGAUUUGGAACCUCGUGCUGCUGCUGCCUUACCUUCUUUCAACUCCAUCACCAGUAAAAAUAUUCUAAUCAAAAUGUUUCACUUCCUUUCUGCCCGCUACCCUCCUUGCUGCCAAAAACUUUGGGAUGCUUAAGCAUUUCUGUUCUUGUCAAUGGCACAUGGCUACGACAGUGCUUUCCUCUCCCUGUAGGCUAUAAAAAUAGAUUGGAGUAAAGGAGAAAACGAAACAAAAUCUGAGAAGUAUUUCCG
ensembl:lncRNA